rnacentral:lncRNA from 10 species
UAAAUAUCACAUGCCGCUGCAGAUCAUAGAGUGGUUACUGAUCUGCUAACAUACUUUGUUGGUACAGAGCAUUAACUGGCCCACAGCUCCUUCAACUCCCACCAAAUUUUCUAUUUCAGUGUCUCCAAGCCUUGGCGCAAGGCACGUGUAGUUCCAUGGUAAAGGCAUUAGCUUAUGCUACAUAUCGCAUGCUCGUCAAUGUGAAAGAUAGCUUGGAGAAUUAAGAAGAAAGGAAGAAGGAAAGAGGACCACAUUGCAGAGUUUUUUGCAGGGAAGGGACAGUCGUUGAAAAAAAAAAAAAGCGCUGCUACAGUAUGUGAAAACAUUGGAUGGGAAAGGGAUGAAGGGGGAAUUCUAAGAAGUCUCAUGGGAAACUAAAUGUUUCUAUAGUGUUCAAAAUGUACAAAUAAAGUAUGCGGAAUAUUUUUAAAU